GGACUCGCCCGGGAACGAAAGUGGAAACGGGAAAGGAAAUGGAAGAAGGGAUGCAAGGCACGAAGGAGCUAACCAAUAAGGGGUGGCAGUUACCUGUGGACAAGCAGGGUUUGAAAAUAGAACUGGCCCCUGUGAUACUGGACAUGAAUUGACUAAAUAACAAAGCCCCUCCAUAACUUAUGUAAUCCAUAAUAGCUCAAAAAUAUUAAUCGAAUAAAUGAAUUGACUGUUUAAGAGUAUUACAUACAAAAUAUAAUGCUGUUCCUGUUUCUGCACAAUGGAGAAUUCAUUUAAUUCACAAUUCCAAGCAAGAUUUUAUUUUUACUAUUAAGUAGAUUUACAGUGACCAUCCUAACACAAAACCAGAAUACCAUAGCAUCAAUUUCUAAGUCCUUAUAGAGAACAUGGACCCAAAUCUCAAGUUAGAGAGAAAUAAGAGCAAUAUGACCUCGUCAUAUUUGGUCAUAACAAGUUGUUCUUUGUUACAUGAAAUAGAUUCCAUUCACCAUUAAGCCAUUACAUUCAAUAGUUGGCAUUGAGGGAUGCUGAUCCAGGGGCUGUCAGAUACAACCAGACUCUGAGUCCUAGCUUGGGCUCAGCUAGAAUGCUAGCUUAACAACAACAAUAUUAACAACAAAAAUAACAAUGACUUAAGAUAAAUCUCUCACACAUAGAAAUAAGUCUGAAAGUAGGAAUUACAGCUAGAUAUGGUGGCUCCACAAUUUUCUCAAGGACCCAAGUUCCCACCUUUUUUCUGUACCAUGCCAGCCUUGCUUCCCACCUUCAGAAUCACGUCAUGUUCCAAGAUAGCUAUUGGCUCUCCAGCCAUCACCACUGAUUUUCAGGCUAAAACCUAAGAGGAAGGUCAGGUGGGCAAAUGGACCUUCCAUCUGAGUUAGUUUCCUUUAACCAAUCUUCAGAGAACUCUCACAAGUAUCUCUCUUAAAGAGCUCAAGGCCAGAAUUUAGUCCCAUAGCCAAAUUUAGCUGCAAAAUCUGGAAGGCAAUAUGUUUUUUAUUAUGGGAAGCAAUAUAAAAACUCCGGUUUGUUUCUAAAGAGAAAGGGAUGAGUAGAUGUUGUAGUAAGAAACUGGCGAGUCCUACCACAAUAAUACUCUAAAAUUAAAUAUGUGAUUAGUAAUUCACUUGUUGAAGGAAAAACUGAAGAUCCCAAUGCAAGUGGUGUAAGAUAAUAAUUUUGUAUACUCAGUUGAAAUCCAAACAAAUAUGUGCAUACACACGCAUAAUCUUAACAUCAUUCCCUUAGCCAUAUUUAUUAAAAGCUGUAACCAUUUCUUUAGUGGGCAGAAACAUGCAUCUGCUAUUACUAGACACAUAUAUCCUUUAAUGUCUAUCAUAUGUGAGUAUAUAUAGUAAAUUAUAUACAAUUCUUAUGACAGCAUGUGUGCUCAAUAAUCCUGAACAAUCAAUAUCAGAGUGUAGAACGGCAAAAUUAAGCAAGAAACUUUCCUAAUAGUUUUCCAUCGUAAAGUUUAUUUCAGAUUAAACAGUUACAUAUCUGAAGAAGAAAUGAAUGUCUUCACAAUCACUUCUUUGUGAUUUUCUUUCCCAGUUGAUUCCCAAAUCAAUUCUUUUCCACACAGUGAUUUAUUUGAUAGUUGUUCUUUGUAAUAAAGAGGAAUUAUAUCAAAGCAUUAAAUAUUGCUACUUGUAAACUUGGAGUAAACCUGUUAUUUUGUCUCAGUUCUAUAUUUUUUUCAUGCCCUUCUCACAUUUUCUGUGUUUCCCUAAGAAGCCAUGAUUCAAAAAAAUAUGGACAAUUUUAUUUUCCCUAAAGAUUUUUGUGAAGAAUGUAAAAUUAGAAUUUGUUAAAACGAUGUCUCUACAGUCCCCAUGCAUUUUUGAUUAAUACCAAAUAAAUACAACCUUGAAUUUUUAUUUGUAUUUUUUAAUUAAAAAUAUCAAUUCAGAAAUUUUAAGGCAGAAGGGGAUCUUAGUAUUGAUCACAUCAUUCAGUUUGCCAGAUCUGGACAUUGGCAAAUUUAUGUAGAGUGAUUGAACCCUGAAAGUUAUAAGUAAUAAACCUAAAUUCAUACAUUAUUUUACAGUGUAAAAACCAUGUAAUUACAUGAAAAGUAUCUGCUAAUCAGAAUAAAAUUAACAUAGACCAGUUAUAUGUUCAUUUUUCUACUCAAGAAGCCAAAUUAAGAGUGUAAAGAUCCAAAACAAAUAUAGAAAUCAGAAGACAAUGACCUACAGAAGUAACUAACAAUGCCAAUAGAGAUCUAAUAUAUUGCAAAUCUACAGAAAGUCUUCCCUAUUGGUUUUCAAGUUCCUAUUCUCAGCGUAAAGGAAAUGAUCUUUUUCUAUUUUAAUUAUCUUGUUUGUUUUAGGGGACAAAACUUAUUAGGCACCUAUCUUUAUGUUAUCAGCUAUAAUUUCUGAUAAAAUUUUUAAUUUCUUAUUCAAUCAUCUAUUUAGUACGCCUUUUUUAAAGUAUCUAGUAUAUUCCAAGCAUUAUGCUGGACAUCAGGAUAUACAAAGAUGAUUAUGAACCAGUCAUUGUUUCCAAAGAGAAAGGAACAUAAAGAGAUUAUUAUAAACUCAGGUGGUACAAGCAGUAAUUUCUAUAGGCAGAGGUCAUUAUGAGAACUGAGGAAAGGCACUCACCCAGCUUGGAGAAAGUAAUUACUAAACUAAGACAUAUACAAUAAAUAGGAUUAAUAGUUAAUCACAGGAGGAUCAUUCUUGUCGGAGGAGAGCUCAUGAACAAGGGCAUAAAAGAAAGAAAGCUGUGUAUGAAGAGAGAAAAGAGGCCAGGUGUGGUGGCUCAAGCCUGUAAUCCCAG